rnacentral:rRNA from 1 species
UACGGAGGGUGCAAGCGUUGUCCGGAUUUAUUGGGUUUAAAGGGUGCGUAGGCGGUCAAUUAAGUCAGUGGUGAAAUCCUCCCGCUCAACGGGAGAACUGCCAUUGAUACUGGUUGACUUGAGUACAGACGAGGUAGGCGGAAUUUAUGGUGUAGCGGUGAAAUGCAUAGAUACCAUAAAGAACACCGAUAGCGAAGGCAGCUUACUGGACUGUAACUGACGCUGAGGCACGAAAGCAUGGGUAGCGAACAGGAUUAGAAACCCUAGUAGUCC